CUAAUUAUUGUUGUUUGUUUAUUUGUUGUUUGUUUGAGCUCUGUUGCCCAGGCUUGAGUGCAGUGGCACAAACAUAGCUCACUGCAGCCUCAACUCCCUUGAGCCAAAGCAAUCCUCCUGCUUCAGCCUCCGACAUAGCUGGGACCACAGGCAUGUACUACCACCAUGCCUGGCUUUUUUUUUUUUUUUUUCCAGAAGCAAGGUGUCCCUAUAUUGUCCUGGCUGGUCGAACUCCUGGGCUCAAGCGAUCCUCCCACCUCGGCCUCCCAAAAUGCAGAGAGUACAGGUGUGAGCCACUGCACCUGGCCCCAAUUACCAUUUUUCUUUCUUUCUUUUUUUUUUUCUUUUUGAGAUGGAGUCUCACUCCGUUGCCCAGACUGGAGUGCAGUGGCAUGAUCUCCACUCACUGCAACCUCUGCCUCCCAGGUUCAAGCAAUUCUGCCUCAGCCUCCCAAGCAGCUGGGAAUACAGGUGCCUGCCACCAUGCCCAGCUAAUUUUUUGUAUUUUUA
rnacentral:lncRNA from 1 species